rfam:Triticum aestivum genome assembly, contig: Triticum_aestivum_CS42_TGACv1_scaffold_034868_1BL
AUAGUACUCCCUCCGUCCAGAAAUACUUGUCAUAGAAAUGGGUACAAAUGAGUAGUGUAUCUAAAACUAAAAUACAUCUGGAUGUACAUCCAUUCCUUGGACAAGUAUUUUCGGACGGAGGGAGUAUACA